rnacentral:rRNA from 1 species
UACGUAGGCAGCAAGCGUUGUUCGGAGUUACUGGGCGUAAAGAGUAUGUAGGCGGUCCUGCAAGUUUGGUGUGAAAUCUCCCGGCUCAACUGGGAGGGUGCGCCGAAAACUGCAGGGCUCGAGUGCGGGAGAGGAGAGCGGAAUUCCUGGUGUAGCGGUGAAAUGCGUAGAUAUCAGGAGGAACACCGGCGGUGUAGACGGCUCUCUGGACCGUAACUGACGCUGAGAUGCGAAAGCGUGGGGAG